AUAUAUAUAUGCAUAUAUAUAAUAAAAUUGGAACGAUACGGAGAAAAUCAACAUGGUCCCUGCGCAAGAAUGACACGCAAAUUCGUGAAGCGUCCCAUAUUUUU
rfam:Octopus bimaculoides Scaffold46227_contig_66, whole genome shotgun sequence.